rnacentral:tRNA from 1 species
AAUUUUAUAAUCUAAUUUAUAUGAUAAUAUUUUAUGAUAUUAAAAUUAAAUUAUAAUACGUUAUAAUAUGACAUAGUCAAUGAUAAUUAAUUUAAUAAAUUAAUAAUAAAAUAAAAAUAUAAAAUUUAUAAAUUUAUAUAUAUAUGAUUAUUAUCAUGAAAUAUAAUUUUUAUAAUUCUAACUAAAAUUU